CAGCACUAAAAGCAUACACAACAAAGAAAACGACACAAACUUACCACUGUUAUUUUUAGGCCUGUUGGAACAUUAACACUCACCGUCAAGUAACAUGGAGUAGUGCAUCCCCAACAAUCGCGGUUUCGGUGAACAUAUUUUCUCUGCCCUUACUGUCUUCAGAUCUCCAGAUCGGGUCUCGUAACGUUAUGGUCUUCCAUGAAACAGACAAUCUGAGUGAUACAAAUGGUCCGAGAACCAGAUACAUGGAGACACAACAGUCCUGCGUCCCAUGUAAGAUUCCUCUUAGUGUAGGGAACGCUCUGUGAGGGCAAGAAUUGCUGACUAAUCCAAGUAAUGGCAGUAAGAAGCCUGAGGGAGGUGAUGUGCUUCACAUAACAACUUCACGAGAUGCAAGUUAACAAGUGGCAUCACGUCCUAUCAGUG